UACAGAGGUCUCAAGCGUUGUUCGGAUUCAUUGGGCGUAAAGGGUGCGUAGGCGGCGCGGUAAGUCGGGUGUGAAAUCUCGGGGCUUAACUCCGAAACUGCAUUCGAUACUACCGUGCUUGAGGACUGGAGAGGAGACUGGAAUUUACGGUGUAGCGGUGAAAUGCGUAGAUAUCGUAAGGAAGACCAGUGGCGAAGGCGGGUCUCUGGACAAUUGCUGACGCUCAGGCACGAAAGCGUGGGGAGCAAAAGGG
rnacentral:rRNA from 1 species